AGUGGCAACAUGUGCAAACUCACUCUAACUGCAGGUCUCUGUUUGAUCAUCGCCAGCUUGGGUUAUCCUGGCCUCACGGAUACAGCUGCAGUGCCGCCAAAC